rnacentral:rRNA from 1 species
GGUAUUUUGACCGUGCAAAGGUAGCAUAAUCAUUAGUUUUUUAAUUGAAAGCUGGAAUGAAAGGUUGAAUGAGAAAAUAAUUGUCUCUAUUUAAAUUAUUUAGAAUUUUAUAAUUAAGUUAAAAAGCUUAAAUUAAAUUAAAAGACGAGAAGACCCUAUAGAGUUUAAUUGAUUUAUAUAACUAAGUUUUUAGGAUUUAUUUUUUUUUUAUAUAAAUUAAUUUGAUUGGGGUGAUUGAAAAAUUAAUUUAACUUUUUUUAUUAUUUGUAUACAUUGAUAUAUGGGGGUAUGAUCCUUUUAUAGAGAUUAAAAGAAAAAAUUACCUUAGGGAUAACAGCGUAAUUUUUUUAAAGAGCUCAAAUCGAAAAAAAAGAUUGCGACCUCGAUGUUGGAUUAAAAUAAAAUUUUGGUGUAGAAGCUAGAG